AUUGAACGCUGGCGGCGUGCCUAACACAUGCAAGUCGAGCGGUAACAGGUGUAGCAAUACAUGCUGACGAGCGGCGGACGGGUGAGCAAUAUUUGGGAAUCUGCCUAUUAGUGGGGGAUAACCCGGGGAAACUCGGGCUAAUACCGCAUACGCACUACGGUGGAAAGCCGGGGACCGCAAGGCCUGGCGCUAAUAGAUGAGCCCAAAUCGGAUUAGCUAGUUGGUGAGGUAACGGCUCACCAAGGCGACGAUCCGUAGCUGGUUUGAGAGAACGACCCGCCACACCGGGACUGAGACACGGGCCGGACUCCUAAGGGAGGCAGCAGUGGGGAAUAUUGGACAAUGGGCGAAAGCCUGAUCCAGCGACGCCGCGUGGGUGAAGAAGGCCUGCGGGUUGUAAAGCCCUUUCGGUUGGAAAGAAAAGUAUUGACCUAACACGUCAGUACCUUGACGUAACCAACAAAAGAAGCACCGGCUAACUCUGUGCCAGCAGCAGCGGUAA
rnacentral:rRNA from 1 species